AGGUGCUAAGCAUGGCUGUCGUCAGCUCGUGUCGUGAGAUGGUUGGGUUAACGUCCCGUAACGAGCGCAACCCUUGUCCUUAGUUACCAGCACGUUAUGGUGGCACUCUAAGGAGACUGCCGGUGACAAACCGGAGGAAGGUGGGGAUGACGUCAAGUCAUCAUGGCCCUUACGGCCUGGGCUACACACGUGCUACAAUGGUCGGUACAAAGGGUUGCCAAGCCGCGAGGUGGAGCUAAUCCCAUAAAACCGAUCGUAGUCCGGAUCGCAGUCUGCAACUCGACUGCGUGAAGUCGGAAUCGCUAGUAAUCGUGAAUCAGAAUGUCACGGUGAAUACGUUCCCGGGCCUU
rnacentral:rRNA from 1 species